GGUGUAGCUCAGCGGGAGAGCACUACGUUGACAUCGUAGGGGUCACAGGUUCAAUCCCUGUCACGCCCA
rnacentral:tRNA from 2 species